rnacentral:rRNA from 1 species
AUUGAACGCUAGCGGGAUGCCUUACACAUGCAAGUCGAACGGAGUGGCGAACGGGUGAGUAAUGUCUCGGCACGUGCCCAGUAGCGGGCGAUAACUCCGCGAAAGAGUAGCUAAUACCGCAUACUUUUGGAGCGGCCGAUGUCGGCUUAGCUAGUUGGUGGGGUAACGGCUAACCAAGGCGACGAUCCGUAGCUGGUGUGAGAGGACGACCCGCCACACUGGGACUGAGACACGGCCCAGACUCCUACGGGAGGCAGCAGUGGGGAAUUUUGGACAAUGGGGGAAACCCUGAUCCAGCCACGCCGCGUGUGCGAAGAAGGUUUUCGGGUUGUAAAGCACUGUUGGCAGGAAAGCGGUACCUGCAGAGUAAGCACCGGCUAACUACGUGCCAGCAGCCGCGGUAAUAC